AAUUAACCCUCAUAAAUCAUAUAUAAAAUUUUAAGAAUUAUUUUACAGAAGUUUUUAUAAACUCAAUCUCACCUCAUAAAUACUAAGGCCUAAAGUUAAAUGUUAAUCUAUUUUUGAUUGCAGUCUAUUUAAAAGAAAAAAAAUCCAAUUUAUCGUAUUUCGAUCAAAUUCUCUAAAUCUUUUACUAUUUAUGUUUUCUUUGAUUAUUUACUUUGCCAAAUAAACUAAAGCUGAAAGGCCAAUCUUAUACAAUAAAGUAGGGUAUGCUCUCUCAUCCUUCCUCCACGUACUCAAGGAGAGUGGAGCUUUUGCCGACACGUGUCAGCACACCAGGCUACUUGCGAAAUUAUUUUUUCUCCAGCCGGAUCUCUUAAUUCACUUAUUUGAACUGGGCUUUUUUAAUUAUUUCUGUUAACAAGAGUCCAAAGUGGACCUCUUAAGUUUAUUAAUGUACUUGGCCCAGACACACCCUUCUCCUUCUCCGCCGGUCUUCAUUUUAUCAGAUCCGUAGAUUAGCAACGACGAUCUCCUUGCUCUUCUGUAACGUUUUCUUCUUCAUUCAAUCCUGAUCAUAACGUAUUGCUAUUA
rnacentral:lncRNA from 1 species